UACGUAGGGGGCAAGCGUUGUCCGGAUUUAUUGGGCGUAAAGAGCGUGUAGGCGGUUAGGUAGGUCCGUUGUGAAAACUCGAGGCUCAACCUCGAGACGCCGAUGGAAACCAUCUAACUAGAGUCCGGAAGAGGAGAGUGGAAUUCCCGGUGUAGCGGUGAAAUGCGCAGAUAUCGGGAAGAACACCCGUGGCGAAGGCGGCUCUCUGGGACGGUACUGACGCUGAGGCGCGAAAGCUAGGGGAGCAAACGGG
rnacentral:rRNA from 1 species